rnacentral:rRNA from 1 species
UACAGAGGUCCCGAGCGUUGUUCGGAUUCAUUGGGCGUAAUGGGUGCGUAGGCGGCGGGGUAAGUUUGAUGUGAAAUCCCGGGGCUCAACCCUGGAAUUGCAUUGAAUACUACCUUGCUAGAGUACCGGAGAGGAAACUGGAAUUUACGGUGUAGCAGUGAAAUGCGUAGAGAUCGUAAGGAAGACCAGUGGCGAAGGCGAGUUUCUGGACGGUAACUGACGCUGAGGCACGAAGGCCAGGGGAGCAAACGGG